rnacentral:rRNA from 1 species
CUGGAGGUAUCAGAAGUGCGAAUGCUGACAUAAGUAACGAUAAAGCGGGUGAAAAGCCCGCUCGCCGGAAGACCAAGGGUUCCUGUCCAACGUUAAUCGGGGCAGGGUGAGUCGACCCCUAAGGCGAGGCCGAAAGGCGUAGUCGAUGGGAAACAGGUUAAUAUUCCUGUACUUGGUGUUACUGCGAAGGGGGGACGGAGAAGGCUAUGUUGGCCGGGCGACGGUUGUCCCGGUUUAAGCGUGUAGGCUGGUUUUCCAGGCAAAUCCGGAAAAUCAAGGCUGAGGCGUGAUGACGAGGCACUACGGUGCUGAAGCAACAAAUGCCCUGCUUCCAGGAAAAGCCUCUAAGCAUCAGGUAACAUCAAAUCGUACCCCAAACCGACACAGGUGGUCAGGUAGAGAAUACCAAGGCGCUUGAGAGAACUCGGGUGAAGGAACUAGGCAAAAUGGUGCCGUAACUUCGGGAGAAGGCACGCUGAUAUGUAGGUGAAGCGACUUGCUCGUGGAGCUGAAAUCAGUCGAAGAUACCAGCUGGCUGCAACUGUUUAUUAAAAACACAGCACUGUGCAAACACGAAAGUGGACGUAUACGGUGUGACGCCUGCCCGGUGCCGGAAGGUUAAUUGAUGGGGUCAGCGCAAGCGAA